UGCAGUCGAACGGGGCACGAACUUCGUGUCUGGUGGCGAGUGGCGAACGGGUGAGUAAUAUAUCGGAACGUGCCCCGGCGUGGGGGAUAACGUAGUGAAAAUUACGCUAAUACCGCAUACGAUCUACGGAUGAAAACGGGGGACUCGCACGAGCCUCGCGCGAUUGGAGCGGCCGAUAUCAGAUUAAGUAGCUGGUGAGGUAAAGGCUCACCAAGCCCGCCAUCUGUAGCUGGUCUGAGAGGACGACCAACCACACUGGAAGUGAGACACGGUCCAGACUCCUACGGGAGGCAGCAAUGGGGAAUUUUGGACAAUGGACGAAAGUCUGAUCCAGCCAUUCCGCGUGCAGGAUGAAGGCCCUCGGGUUGUAAACUGCUUUUGUACGGAACGAAAAGGUCUCUCCUAAUACGAGAGGCUCAUGACGGUACCGUAAGAAUAAGCACCGGCUAACUACGUGCCAGCAGCCGCGGUAAUACGUACGGUGCAAGCGUUAAUCGGAAUUACUGGGCGUAAAGCGUGCGCACGCGGGUAUAUAAGACAGAUGUGAAAUCCCCGGGCUCAACCUGGGAACUGCCUUUGUGACUGUAUAGCUAGAGUACGGCAGAGGGAGAUGGAAUUCCGCGUGUAGCAAUGAAAUGCAUACAUAUGCGGAGGAACACCGAUGGCGAAGGCAAUCCCCUGGACCUGUACUGACUCUCAUGCACGAAAGCGUGCGGAGCAAACAGGAUUAGAUACCCUGGCAGUCCACGCCCUAAACGAUGUCAACUGGUUGGUGGGUCUUAACUGACUCAGCAACGAAGCUAACGCGUGAAGUUGACCGCCUGGGG
rnacentral:rRNA from 1 species